AUUGAACGCUGGCGGCAGGCCUAACACAUGCAAGUCGAGCGAGCGGCGGACGGGUGAGUACUGUCUGGGAACCUGCCUGCUGGCGGGGGAUAACUACUGGAAACGGUUGCUAAUACCGCAUUCCAUCAGCUUUGCCCAGAUGGGAUUCGCUAGUGGGUGGGGUAACGGCUCACCUAGGCGACGAUCCCUAGCUGGUCUGAGAGGUUGACCAGCCACACUGGAACUGAGACACGGUCCAGACUCCUACGGGAGGCAGCAGUGGGGAAUAUUGCACAAUGGGCGCAAGCCUGAUGCAGCCAUGCCGCGUGUGUGAAGAAGGCCUUCGGGUUGUAAAGCACUGUCAGCGGGGAGGCGUUACCCGCAGAAAAAGCACCGGCUAACUCCGUGCCAGCAGCCGCGGUAAUAC
rnacentral:rRNA from 1 species